GAUGAAGAACGUAGCGAAAUGCGAUAAGUAAUGUGAAUUGCAGAAUUCAGUGAAUCAUCGAAUCUUUGAACGCACCUUGCGCCCUUUGGCUAUUCCGAAGGGCAUGCCUGUUUGAGUAUCAUGAACACCUCAACUCUCAUGGCUUGCCAUGAUGAGCUUGGACUAUGGGGGUCUUGCUGGCCUGUGGUCGGCUCCUCUCAAAUGAAUCAGCUUGCCAGUGUUUGGUGGCAUCACAGGUGUGAUAACUAUCUACGCUUGUGGUUUUCCACCAGGUAACCUUCAGCAAUGGAGGUUCGCUGGGGCUCAUAAAUGUCUCUCCUCAGCGAGGACAGCUCUUUGAACGUUUGAUCUCAAAUCAGGUAGGACUACCCGCUGAACUUAAGCAUAUCAAUAAGCGGAGGA
rnacentral:misc_RNA from 1 species